rnacentral:SRP_RNA from 1 species
GCUUAGUCGAGUGGCGUCGGCUUUCCUCUGCAUCUGGAGAAGCUUUCAGUGGUUAGUUGAGGCUAGGGGUUGUGGUUAAUACUAUAUUCCUGUCCGCCAGAAGUCUAAUGUUGGUAAUUGUAUCCUAGCGUAAGCUUGUGGGUAUAAUGGCUAUUCAAGACCUGGGGAAAGCGCGAGGCUGGAAACAGAGCAGCGAAAACUGGGCGCAUUGGUUCAGUCUGGGGACUGCAGGAAUCAGCACCUUGUUCCGGCUGCAACUAACACACUAUU